rnacentral:sRNA from 25 species
CCAUGUAAAUUAUCAUGUUAUGGCAAUGAUGUUGCGGUGAAUCCCGUUAGCACGGGGCAAACUGAUCAUAUACUUCUGUUAACCAAUGUCGCAGCAGACGCCAUAGCGGGUCAUGGCAGGUUAACCAAAGGCUCACCGGAAAGUACCCGGCACCGUAACACUCCAGUGAAAGCGGGUAAUUAAUCAAAGGUUCACUACGGUGGGCCUUUUCUGUAUAC